rnacentral:rRNA from 1 species
CUCGUAGGCGGUUCGUCGCGUCCGGUGUGAAAGUCCAUCGCUUAACGGUGGAUCCGCGCCGGGUACGGGCGGGCUUGAGUGCGGUAGGGGAGACUGGAAUUCCCGGUAUAACGGUGGAAUGUGUAGAUAUCGGGAAGAACACCAAUGGCGAAGGCAGGUCUCUGGGCCGCCACUGACGCUGAGGAGCGAAAGCGUGGGGAGCGAACA